rnacentral:rRNA from 1 species
UACAGAGGUCUCAAGCGUUGUUCGGAUUCAUUGGGCGUAAAGGGUGCGUAGGCGGCGCGGAAAGUUGGGUGUGAAAUCCCUCGGCUCAACCGAGGAACUGCGCCCAAAACUACCGUGCUCGAGGAAGAUAGAGGUGAGCGGAACUUAGGGUGGAGCGGUGAAAUGCGUUGAUAUCCUAAGGAACACCGGUGGCGAAAGCGGCUCACUGGAUCUUUUCUGACGCUGAGGCACGAAAGCUAGGGUAGCGAACGGG